GAUGAACGCUGGCGGCGUGCCUUAUGCAUGCAAGUCGAACGGUCCUUCCGGUUUCGGCCGGAAGGGUAGUGGCGAACGGGUGAGUAACACGUAUGUAACCUAUCCGAAUGUGGGGGAUAACUCGCCGAAAGGCGGACUAAUACCGCAUGUGGUCGCCGGUGAGAACCCGGUGGACAAAAGCCGCAAGGCGCGUUCGGAGGGGCGUGCGGCCGAUUAGCUUGUUGGUGGGGUAACGGCUCACCAAGGCGACGAUCGGUAGCUGGUCUGAGAGGACGGCCAGCCACACGGGGACUGAGACACGGCCCCGACUCCUACGGGAGGCAGCAGCAAGGAAUCUUGCGCAAUGGGCGAAAGCCUGACGCAGCAACGCCGCGUGGGGGAUGAAGGCCCUCGGGUCGUAAACCCCUUUUGCUGGGGAAGCAACUGACGGUACCCAGCGAAUAAGCCACGGCUAACUACGUGCCAGCAGCCGCGGUAAUACGUAGGUGGCAAGCGUUGUCCGGAUUUACUGGGCGUAAAGCGCACGCAGGUGGCCUGUCAAGUCCAGGGUGAAAUCUCCCGGCUCAACCGGGAAGGGUCUCUGGAUACUGGCAGGCUUGAGGGCAGCAGAGGAGAGCAGAAUUCCCGGUGUAGCGGUGAUAUGCGUAGAUAUCGGGAGGAAUACCAGUGGCGAAGGCGGCUCUCUGGGCUGUCCCUGACGCUGAGGUGCGAAAGCGUGGGGAGCAAACCGGAUUAGAUACCCGGGUAGUCCACGCUGUAAACGUUGGGCACUAGUGUGGGGGGGGGUAUUGACCCCCUUCCGUGCCGUAGCUAACGCGAUAAGUGCCCCGCCUGGGGGAGUACGGCCGCAAGGCUA
rnacentral:rRNA from 1 species